AGGGCUCAGGGGUGUGGCCUCCCAUUGUUCAAGAUGGGUUCAAAAGACUGUGCCUCUGAGAUCUCUGGAACAGACCACCCUAGCCUUCAAUAUGGUGAAAGCAACGAAGAAGAAAUCAGAGAAUACUACACCAGAUGUCAAGCCAUCAACUUCAAGGGCGAAAUCCAAGAAAAUUAAGACUUGCCAUCAACACAAAACCAGAACUGGAGAGGAAAGUCGUAGGUCCGGAUCCAAAUGUAGUGGGAAGAUGUGAAAGAUGACAAAGAAGGCCAAGAGAAACCCUGCCAAGAAUCCCAGAAAAUAACACUCCAAAGAAAACUGCACCACCAACAAAGAAGACUAAAUGAGACAAAGAUGAAACACUAUUCGGACACUACCACCGUCUGAUGGAUGAAAUAACAAUUAGCACUGAAAUGGGACCAGAACAGAGCGGUGCAGACAGCUCCACUGAGCCAACUAGUGAUGAGGAAAGCAAAUAGACUCAGAAAGCCACCCAAGACUAGAAAUCUGUUCACAGGUCUGGCAGCUGAACGAUGUCAAACUGUGUAGAUUCACUAGUUACUACACAGUGCUUUGACACUGAUGAAAAUAAAAUCAAUCUGGUAUGAAAA